rnacentral:rRNA from 1 species
UUCCUUAGUAAGCUAUUGCGCCAACUAGGACUUUUAAUCCAACAUCGAGGUCACAAAAAUUUUUGAUGAUAAGAACUCUUAAAAAAAAUUAUGCUGUUAUCCCUACAGUAACUUAUUCCUUAUUAAAAACUCCUCGAUUUUACAAGAUUAGAAAUCACAAUAUAAAAAUGAUAUUAACUCAUUAACUGCCCCAGUUAAACAAUUUCACCCUUGAUUUGAAAACAAAAGAUUAAUUGUAAAGCUUGAUAGGGUCUUCUCGUCCCUAAACAAAAUUUUAGCUUUUUUACUAAAUGAUAAAAUUCAAAAUAUUUAAAUAAGACAGAAAUAUUCAGUAAAACCCUUCAUUCCAGUCCCAAAUUAAGAGACUA